rnacentral:rRNA from 1 species
UACGUAGGGUGCGAGCGUUAAUCGGAAUUACUGGGCGUAAAGCGUGCGCAGGCGGUGAUGUAAGACAGGUGUGAAAUCCCCGGGCUUAACCUGGGAACUGCGUCUGAUACUGGAAGGCUUGAGUGCGGGAGAGGGAUGUGGAAUUCCAGGUGUAGCGGUGAAAUGCGUAGAUAUCUGGAGGAACACCGGUGGCGAAGGCGGCAUCCUGGACCGACACUGACGCUGAGGCGCGAAAGCUAGGGUAGCAAACGGG